GAUGAACGCUGGCGGCGUGCCUAAUACAUGCAAGUCGAGCGAACAGAUGAGGAGCUUGCUCCUCUGACGUUAGCGGCGGACGGGUGAGUAACACGUGGAUAACCUACCUAUAAGACUGGGAUAACUUCGGGAAACCGGAGCUAAUACCGGAUAAUAUAUUGAACCGCAUGGUUCAAUAGUGAAAGACGGUUUUGCUGUCACUUAUAGAUGGAUCCGCGCCGCAUUAGCUAGUUGGUAAGGUAACGGCUUACCAAGGCAACGAUGCGUAGCCGACCUGAGAGGGUGAUCGGCCACACUGGAACUGAAACACGGUCCAGACUCCUACGGGAGGCAGCAGUAGGGGAUCUUCCGCAAUGGGCGAAAGCCUGACGGAGCAACGCCGCGUGAGUGAUGAAGGUCUUCGGAUCGUAAAACUCUGUUAUUAGGGAAGAACAAAUGUGUAAGUAACUAUGCACGUCUUGACGGUACCUAAUCAGAAAGCCACGGCUAACUACGUG
rnacentral:rRNA from 1 species